rnacentral:hammerhead_ribozyme from 1 species
AUCCAGCCGACGAGUCCCAAAAAGGACGAAACGCGCGUCCUGGAU